GAUGAACGCUGGCGGCGUGCCUAAUACAUGCAAGUCGAGCGAACGGACGAGAAGCUUGCUUCUCUGAUGUUAGCGGCGGACGGGUGAGUAACACGUGGAUAACCUACCUAUAAGACUGGGAUAACUUCGGGAAACCGGAGCUAAUACCGGAUAAUAUUUUGAACCGCAUGGUUCAAAAGUGAAAGACGGUCUUGCUGUCACUUAUAGAUGGAUCCGCGCUGCAUUAGCUAGUUGGUAAGGUAACGGCUUACCAAGGCAACGAUGCAUAGCCGACCUGAGAGGGUGAUCGGCCACCCUGGAACUGAGGCACGGUCCAGACUCCUACGGGAGGCAACAGUAGGGAAUCUUCCGCAAUGGGCGAAAGCCUGACGGAGCAACGCCGCGUGAGUGAUGAAGGUCUUCGGAUCGUAAAACUCUGUUAUUAGGGAGGAACAUAUGUGUAAGUAACUGUGCACAUCUUGACGGUACCUAAUCAGAAAGCCACGGCUAACUACGUG
rnacentral:rRNA from 1 species